rnacentral:rRNA from 1 species
GACGUAGGGAGCGAGCGUUGUCCGGAUUCAUUGGGCGUAAAGAGCGCGCAGGCGGUUUGGUAAGUCGGAUGUGAAAACCCGGGGCUCAACCCCGGGCGUGCAUCUCGAUACUGCCCGACUAGAGGUAGGUAGGGGAGAUCGGAAUUCCUGGUGUAGCGGUGAAAUGCGCAGAUAUCAGGAGGAACACCGGUGGCGAAGGCGGCUUUCUGGGACGGUACUGACGCUGAGACGCGAAAGCGUGGGGAGCGAACAGG